ACCUUCCUCUGUCAUGACCCUGGUGGGCCUCCAGAUUCCGGAGCUCCCCGCAGUCACCUGUCUGGACUGCCACUUCCCCCCUCAGGGGAUCCUCCUGGGUGCCCACGUGAGCCCAGAGAGGCAGCAUCUCCUCCAUUUGGGUUGCUGCCUCGGACCAGCCGCUGCGACGGGUGCCCACCA